AGGUGGGUGCUUUCCUGUCUGAUACUCACUUUGUGGUUAAGGUAAGUGUGUGAUUGCCACCCAAAGCAAGAAAGCAGCACUUGGGCAAAAUGACAAUGGUAACUCAAAGAGGAAGUGGUCAGUAUUUGCUCAUAACAUCUGCAGAGCUUGUUUUCUCUUUGUUGCCUAUAUCAGAAAAAUCUAUUACAAUAGUUAGGAGAGGGAAGUAUUUCUUUCUGUUUCUAAGCAUGUGAAUCACAUUCCCUACUGGCAAAAGCUGCCCAGCACAUUGAGUUCAGUGAUAUAUAGAGCCUGCAACUGUACACUGCACCAGGAGCAAAAUGUGUGGCAGUACAGGAGCCUGGGAAAGGGCUUAGCAGGACAAACCUGGGCUAGCUAAGUCUCAGCUAGAUCCUGCUUUGGGUAAGCUUUUGUUUUCUUUUUAAAAAAGCUAAAUUGCACCAGUAUUUCAUUUCCUUUUUUACAAAUGAGAAGUUUGGUGUUUUGAGGAUGUGGCCAACUUCUGAUAAAUAAUGUUUUGAUGAUGAGUGUGACCAUUUGGGAACUGAUGGAGAUGGAUAGAGAGAGGGGGAUGUGUCUUCCAGUGGCAGAUCAAGUACACAAAAGCCUCCAGCAUUUAGAGGACCCAGGGAAGUUUUGGAUGCCAGAAAUCUUAUACCAAGCCUUCUUCCUGUCCCCUGCCACUUGUCCACAUCCUGGCAUGUGACAGAGAAAGUCCAAAAGUGAAAACUGGCAGCUGCGUCCGGGAGAGAUGAACGCCAGGCCUCCCAAGCUGGGCAAAGGGAACAGCACCCAUUGGAGGGGGGACUCCAUCGAGUGGAGCUGCACCAGGAUGCCUUCAGUCUGCCAGAGGGGAUGCUCAGGCACCUGGAGACAUAGCAGGAAGUAGCAAUGGCACUGGGGUGCAGGAAGGAACUGGGAGGGUAAGGGGAUGUGGAAGAGAAAUCCAUAGGAAACCAGUUUCUGUGAGCUUUACUGCACACAGCAGUGGAACCUGACACCAGAUAGGUGCUAAACUAAAGAAAAUCCCUUAAAUAGGCAGAUGUGCACUUUCCAAAGUAUCUGCUGGUAAAAAAAAAUGAAGCCAGUUAAGUUAAGCUUCCAUGUUAGCAUCCAGCAGUACAGCUCACCCUGAUUUACCAAACUGUUUAACUACAGUCAGCAAUGUAAAGCUGGCAUUUUAUAAUUUAGGAUGGUUGAUUCAAGUGUUGUUUGACAUACUGUCUGCUUUUAAAAACCAGGGAACACGAAAGUGUCUGCUCGCUUUUGGAAAAGGAAAUAAAUAUUAACUUAUCUGCACAAUGUGUGAGCAGAUCUAGCCCUGUUGCAGGAAACUCAUUAAUCUCACAUGGAAAAUAAAUAAACUGGGAGAGAAAAGGAUGGGUGGGAUUUCAACUUCCUCUAUUUCCGUAAAUCGUUAUUUUAUAUGAACAAGAGCAUGCCAAAGGUUUUAAAGUACUGCAAAGAACAAAUAACUUCAUUGAAUCUUUUAAAGAUGGAAUAUUUUCAUUAUAUAACUUCAUUGAAUCUUUUAAAAGAUCCCAGUAGUGGGAUAAUUUAGGGUGGCAUUGGGAAAACUCACCUGUUAAAUACUGCCUAAUAGUUCCUGCUAUUAGACCACAUUUUCCAUUGUUGAUGCUAUUGUCAGUCUUCAGCCACCAGGCUCACAUUUUCCAUGGCAGGUGUCUGCCUAAGGCUGGAUACGUAUGAUGCAUGUGUGCUUGUACCAAGAAUUGUCUCAGACUGUAUAUAAAAAUUUCAGCCAAAAUGCUUUUGCUCUUCAACAAGUUUCCUUCACAUUAAGAAGAAUGGCAACCUCAUCUUUAGACAGUCCCAAAGGCCCCUUACUUUGGAGGAAAGGCAUUAAAUUUUGCAGGAGUGCUUUAGCCACCCUGAAAAUCCAACUCAGCCUGGAUUAAUUAUGAGCCUUAGCAAGAUCAGUUUGGUCUUGAUAGAGUUUCAUAGCUUGAUGUUUCAAAGGUCCUGCAUUCAGUGAUUCUGUACUACACUGGGCCUGACUGAGGUGGACUUCCUCAGCAAGUUUCCCAUUUACUACUUUGGACCCUGUUGCUGCUUUGGGGAAACCCAGAAGAAAUAAUCACCCAAGGAAGGAACAGGCUGGAGAGGGAGAGGUGUCUGGACAGAGAGCAUGUGGCAAGGGAAGAAGGUUUGGAUGAGAAGCCAAAGAGGGUGAUAUAGCACAGCUGGUGCAAGACAGGAAUGUAGCAAAAGAGAUACUGGAUAGAAGAAAGUGAUCAGAGGGUGUGUGGCCACUGUACCCACAGUCACUGACCAACACAUGUGCCAUAGGGUAAGAUAGAGGUCGUUUUCUUUGCUGACAGGAUCAGCUGACAGAAUCUCACAGGAGCACUGACAGAGCAUUUAGAAUAACACAGUUUUGAGAGUCACAGAAAGCAUGGCUCAAGCUCAGUUUCACUCAUGGAAGAGUUGGACUUGCAAGGUAUAGCCAUAUUAAAAAAAAUAAAUUGGGAAAUGGGUGACUGGCCCUUUUCUUCCAUAAAAAUAUGACUCUGAACCUGAAAACAGCCACUUGGUCAGUGGUGCUCUUGCUCUUUCAUCUCAGGUGGGACAUACUGUUCCUCAAUGCCUUGGAAAUUCAAAUACUCACUGAGAUGCCUUUAAUAUAGCUUUAAAUGUUGGCCUUUCCCAAAGACAGACAUCUGUGACCAGAGUAACCAGUGCUUCCACGAUCAUCCAUGUAUUCAUCAUACAUCUCCAGCAUUCUAGAUCUGCUCUUACAUCAUUUGCAAAAUUAGAAAGAGGAAAAACACAGUGUGCACUGAGUGACCACCAGUUCUCUUUCUGAGCCCAGUGGUUUAUUCUCUGAUCACUAAAGCAGUUUAAAACUGAGUCAUUUGUAUGGCAUUCACUGCCAAGAGGCACCUGUUCCUUCAGAUUAAACCACAUUCUUCAGUAAUCUGUGAUUGUUAAUAGUAGUAAUUUCUAACUUCAAAAUAUUGCUAUAAAUAUCUUCUUUCAGGUUUUAUGACAGCCAGACCGUUAUGUGCUAAGGAUCCCAAAAGCCAUUCAUCACGAUCCAGAGCUAUAUUUCUAUAAAGAUGUAAAGCUUAGAAAAGCAGGUUUAGAAUAUCUAUGAGAAAUGGAGAACUUUUAAUUUAAGCUAAGAACUAGUGAGAAUGCCAAUUUACGGUCAUGGGAUGGGUGUGCCACUGAUUCUGACAAAUGUCUUCCUGAUAUGAAUACAGGCUGGAAAAGCAAAUGGAAGCCAAGUGUGAAAGAGAUGCAGCCAGCCUUAGGGGAGUGCAGGAACAUCUGCAAUCAAAUUAAAAUAGCAUAUGACCACAGGAGAGUUUUUUUACAGUAUGUAUUUGGCAGAGCAGGCAGGGGGUAGUUGAAAUGCUGGUUUGGAAGGCAAAUACACAAAAUUCAAAUCUGAAUUCAUAAACUUUUGUUGUGUUAGUUGGGAGGCAGGAAUUAAAUUUCAGGGAUGCAGCUUGGGGGACAUUGGGACAGCACAAGGUGGAAAGGAAAGGAGGGCACAAGUCAUAAGUAAUGGCUAAUCCCUGUUUCACACUGGACAAAGAAAUAGCAAUGGUACAACACUCUAUACACCAAGUGUCUGUACUAUGAUUCCCCCAUUUUCUAUCCAUAAAGAAUUUUGAUGGGUUUAUCGUAGUUUGAUGGAUUUAUAGUGGUUUGGUGCUGACAGACAUUGCUCUCUCCCCUGAACAGAUUCCCUGACAACUAAUAAGCGCUGAGCUCUUGUAGUUUUUCAGUGUGGAGUCACCAUUUUUGAUUUCUUUCUUCUCUCGGCUGCCUGUUUUCACAAAAUUAAACUCACCUCUGAGUAAAUUCAAAUAUGUUUGAGACCUGAGUUAAUUCUAAUUCAAACUUGUAACUUCUAAUUCAAACAAAUCAAAUAAUUAUUGGGGAGACAUGGACAUCUAAGCCUUGACUCUUUAGAAACUAAGCAGAAAGGAAAAAACAAAACAAGCAGAGAAAAAAAAAAAAGGGAAGAAACUAAAGAAACUAAACAUUAAAAGAUCUCUUAAUAUUUUGUAUGUACUG